CAAAGGUUUGGUCCUGACUUUACUAUCAGUUUUAGCCUAACUUGUACAUGCAAGUAUCCGCACCCCUGUGAAAAUGCCCUAUGAUCCCCCCCCCGGGGGGGACGUAAGGAGCCGGUAUCAGGCACAAUAAACUAAGCCCACGACACCUUGCUAAUAGCCACACCCCCAAGGGGUCCCAGCAGUAAUAAACAUUAAGCAAUAAGUGAAAACUUGACUUAGUUAAGGCUAAGAGGGCCGGUAAAACUCGUGCCAGCCACCGCGGUUAUACGAGAGGCCCAAAUUGAUAGCCAUCGGCGUAAAGGGUGGUUACGAGCUAACUAAAAUAAAGUCAAAUGCCUUCAAGGCUGUUAUACGCACCCGAAGACAAGAAGCCCAACUACGAAAGUGACUUUAAGAACUCUGACCCCACGAAAGCUGUGACACAAACUGGGAUUAGAUACCCCACUAUGCCCAGCCGUAAACUAUGAUAAUGAAUUACCCCCGUUAUCCGCCUGGGGACUACAAGUGCAAACUUGAAACCCAAAGGACUUGGCGGCGCUUAAGAUCCACCUAGAGGAGCCUGUUCUAGAACCGAUGAUCCCCGUUCAACCUCACCCUUUCUUGCCAUCCCCGCCUAUAUACCGCCGUCGUCAGCUCACCCUGUAAAGGCCCAAUAGUGAGCAAAAUUGGCACGCCCCAAAACGUCAGGUCGAGGUGUAGCGAAUGAGAGGGGAAGAAAUGGGCUACAUUCCCUAACAAAGUGCACACGGACAACACAUUGAAACAUGUAUUUGAAGGAGGAUUUAGCAGUAAGUACAAAAUAGAGCGUUGUACUGAAAUUGGCCCUAAAGCACGCACACACCGCCCGUCACUCUCCCCAGACAAACACUUAGUAACUACCACUAUACAAACAACAGGGGAGGCAAGUCGUAACAUGGUAAGUGUACCGGAAGGUGCACUUGGAACACU
rnacentral:rRNA from 1 species